rnacentral:rRNA from 1 species
AACACAUGCAAGUCGAACGAAGCAACUAUUACGAUCCCUUCGGGGUGACGAUUGUUGGACUGAGUGGCGGGACGGGUGGAGUAACGCGUGGGUAACCUGCCUUGUACAGGGGGACAACAGUUGGAAACGACUGCUAAUACCGCAUAAGCGCACAGCUUCGCAUGAAGCAGUGUGAAAAGUAUUUUCGGUACAAGAUGGAACCCGCGUCUGAUUAGCUAGUUGGUGAGGUAACGGCCCACCAAGGCGACGAUCAGUAGCCGACCUGAGAGGGUGACCGGCCACAUUGGGACUGAGACACGGCCCAAACUCCUACGGGAGGCAGCAGUGGGGAAUAUUGCACAAUGGGCGAAAGCCUGAUGCAAGCGACGCCGCGUGAGCGAAGAAGUAUUUCGGUAUGUAAAGCUCUAUCAGCAGGGAAGAUAAUGACGGUACCUGACUAAGAAGCACCGGCUAAAUACGUGCCAGCCGCGGC